GGAAGUGCAGCAAUGUAUGGAGCUGACUGCUACUAAUCGGUCGAGGGCUUGACCUAA
rnacentral:rRNA from 1 species